AACAUUGCACAGUGGCAAUAUCGUAACCAAUGAAGUUCAACUGAGGUGCAAAUAUUGCUGAUUGAAAACUUUUUUCCAUCAUGAUUCAUGAAUCAUGUGUUUGAAUACAAGGACAGUCCUAGACCUAUAUUCGGGGGGGGGC